UACAGAGGUCCCAAGCGUUGUUCGGAUUCAUUGGGCGUAAAGGGCGCGUAGGUGGCGGGACAAGCGUGCGGUGAAAGCUCGGGGCUCAACCCCGAGUCGGCCGUGCGAACUGUCUUGCUUGAGCACUGUAGAGGCAGGCGGAAUUCCGGGUGUAGCGGUGGAAUGCGUAGAGAUCCGGAAGAACACCGGUGGCGAAGGCGGCCUGCUGGGCAGUUGCUGACACUGAGGCGCGACAGCGUGGGGAGCAAACAGG
rnacentral:rRNA from 1 species